rnacentral:rRNA from 1 species
GCCUGCAACAUAUCAUUAAUGUAGCGGAUCUCAUUAGAACUCUACAAUUAAGUGUGCUCUAGCUAGAGUAGUAUUGGGAUGGGUGACCACCCGGGAAGUCCUAGUGCUUUACAUGCC